rnacentral:rRNA from 1 species
GCCGCGGUGUUUUAACCGUGCAAAGGUAGCGCAAUCACUUGUCUCUUAAAUAGAGACCUGUAUGAAUGGCUAGACGAGGGCUUAACUGUCUCCCCCUUCCAGUCAGUGAAAUUGAUCUAUCCGUGCAGAAGCGGGUAUAAUUAUACAAGACGAGAAGACCCUUUGGAGCUUAAGGUACAAAGUUCAACCACGUUAAACGACUCCACAGAAAGCAAGAACUUAGUGGCAAAUGAAACUUUACCUUCGGUUGGGGCGACCACGGAGGAGAAGAAAGCCUCCNAGUGGACUGGGUUAAAUCCCCAAAGCCAAGAGAUACAUCUAUAAGCCGCAGAACAUCUGACCAAGAAUGAUCCGACUGGAAGGCCGAUCAACGAACCAAGUUACCCUAGGGAUAACAGCGCAAUCCUCUCCCAGAGUCCAUAUCGACGAGGGGGUUUACGACCUCGAUGUUGGAUCAGGACAUCCUAAUGGUGCAGCCGCUAUUAAGGGUUCGUUUGUUCAACGAUUAAAGUCCUACGUGAUCU